rnacentral:lncRNA from 1 species
AUUUGAAUUUGCCUCUACUAGUGAUACUCAGAUAGAAUCAGGUUCAGAAAACGGUUAACAAACUUUCUAAAAUUGGAGGUAAAACCAUUAAGACAAAUACAAAUAAAUGUGAUGCAAAGCCUUCUACAAAUGGUCCGGUCUGACACAACAAUUACAGCUUCAUGGAUAAGCUUAGUGGCUUUUUUUUCUGUUUUCCAGGCAGAUAUUUCUGAUUAUACUGUCCACUCUUGGUGUUUUCUUGCGUUUAGAAGGUGGUCUCCUUGGACCAAACUCUUCCCCUGUAUCAAUUCUUUUUCUUACUUGCAUUACGGUUUGGU